rnacentral:rRNA from 1 species
GGAAUAUUGCACAAUGGGCGAAAGCCUGAUGCAGCAACGCCGCGUGAAGGAAGAAGGCCUUCGGGUCGUAAACUUCUGUCCUUGGGGAAGAAGAACUGACGGUACCCAAGGAGGAAGCCCCGGCUAACUACGUGCCAGCAGCCGCGGUAAUACGUAGGGGGCAAGCGUUAUCCGGAUUUAUUGGGUUUAAAGGGUGCGUAGGCGGGAUGCCAAGUCAGCGGUCAAAUACGGGGGCUCAACCUGCGUCCGCCGUUGAAACUGGCGUUCUUGAGUGGGCGAGAAGUACGCGGAAUGCGUGGUGUAGCGGUGAAAUGCAUAGAUAUCACGCAGAACCCCGAUUGCGAAGGCAGCGUACCGGCGCCCUACUGACGCUGAAGCACGAAAGCGUGGGUAUCGAACAG